AUGCUUGUCCCGGUUCUUGGUGUCCUCUUUGGAGUUGCUCCAUGGAGCUCACCGAGCAACCAUGGCGCCACCCCGAACUCUGGAUCCGGCGCCCCCAAACCUCGACGGCCUCCCCCGCGCGCCUCCCUGACCCUCCUCCAUCUGGAUCCGUCCGGUGGCAGCCGGAUUGUCGCCGUUCUCUGGAGUCAAACCCGGAUCCAACACGCGCUGAUUAUGCCGCUGCCCCGCCUCCCGCGCGUCCUCCUCCUCCCAGUCGUGGCCCAUGGCGGCGAGGAGCGUGUUGAGCAGCCCGAUCGUGGUCGGCGGCGUGCGCUGCAGCCAGCCGGCGCGGGCCUGGAGCGCUGCGGCCUGGGCCUCGCUGUCGGCGAACCGCGUGCGGCGAAGAGGAGGCAGGCCGUGGUGUGGGGAGGAGGGCGCGGCGGAGAGGAGGUAGGCCGGCGCGCGGGGAUGGCGUCGCGGAUGAUGCGGACCGGCGGCGGGGAGGCGGAGGAUCCAGAUCGGGGUGGGAGGCGCGGUCGCUCGACUCUGGGUUUUUUUUUUUGGCAAACCGCACACGCGUCCACGGAUGGAUUAGAAAUACGAAACAUUUUUUUUCACAUAUUUACUGGACUGUGGGUUAAUUACUUAAUAUCAUAG
rnacentral:rRNA from 1 species